CGACAUCAGAGAUGAGGACAGCAUUGCUGCUCCUUGCAGCCCUGGCUGUGGCUACAGGCCCUUACCCUGCGCUGCCACGUGUGCACCAGCUCCAGCAACUGCAAGCAUUCUGUGGUCUGCCCGGCCAGCUCUCGCUUCUGCAAGACCACGAACACAGUGGAGCCUCUGAGGGGGAAUCUGGUGAAGAAGGACUGUGCGGAGUCGUGCACACCCAGCUACACCCUGCAAGGCCAGGUCAGCAGCGGCACCAGCUCCACCCAGUGCUGCCAGGAGGACCUGUGCAAUGAGAAGCUGCACAACGCUGCACCCACCCGCACCGCCCUCGCCCACAGUGCCCUCAGCCUGGGGCUGGCCCUGAGCCUCCUGGCCGUCAUCUUAGCCCCCAGCCUGUGACCUUCCCCCCAGGGAAGGCCCCUCAUGCCUUUCCUUCCCUUUCUCUGGGGAUUCCACACCUCUCUUCCCCAGCCGCAACGGGGGUGCCAGGAGCCCCAGGCUGAGGGCUUCCCCGAAAGUCUGGGACCAGGUCCAGGUGGGCAUGGAAUGCUGAUGACUUGGAGCAGGCCCCACAGACCCCACAGAGGAUGAAGCCACCCCACAGAGGAUGCAGCCCCCAGCUGCAUGGAAGGUGGAGGACAGAAGCCCUGUGGAUCCCCGGAUUUCACACUCCUUCUGUUUUGUUGCCGUUUAUUUUUGUACUCAAAUCUCUACAUGGAGAUAAAUGAUUUAAACC
rnacentral:lncRNA from 1 species